UCAAUGUUUGUAUGUUGGCAGUUGAACCUCAUGCAUGCUAGGCACCUGUAGAGCUGAAGCUUUGCUGGUGUUGCAUACAGUGACAUUCUGUUCAUUUAUACUUCAGUCUACUUUAGUCUAAAACAUAGGGAAGGAAGUAUUUACAGAGUUUGAACAGUCCAUUAAAAUGGCAUUUAAGUAGAUUCAAAUUCAAGUGUACCAGUACAGUGUUCCUUUGAUGUGGGAAAUAAAAGGGGAGGGUGGGGAACUUCACCUUGAAAAUGAAGACUAACUUCUUAGUGCCAUGUGAAAAGAAGUGACAUGGUAGAGUGCUGACCCAUUUACGAGUUCCAGGUAGAGGCAAAUUAGAGUUCAACCCACCUGGGGCUGAUUUGUCUCAGUGAGUGAACUGCACAAAUAGGAAAAAACCAGGGACUGACUCAGCUCUAGCUAGGGCUGCUUCCCAUGCUGAAGUCUGUUCCUGGCAUGACCUCUUCUGUUGUCCUCAGACCGUGCUUCCCUCCUCCUUUGUCACUGGAGAGAAACAGGAAGGAAUGUUUAUUAACAAGGCUGGCUGGGGUCACACCCAAGGCAAUAUCAGAUUUUUACCUCUCCUGGGCCUGGGAAGAGGUCCAAAGAUCAAGGGCAGCUCCCAGUUAGUAAGAGGCAAGAACAAACCUCAGAGAACACACUGCCUGCUUAACCAUAGCCCCAGAGUGCCCUGACAGGAGUGCGAUCUCAUCCAUCCCUGCUGGUCAUCCUGAGGCUCUAACCCUGUAAUAGACCACUAGAGCCCUAAUCCCCAAGGAGCUUUGCCCAAGAUGAUGGAAGAGCAAUGUUUGGAUCCUGACUUGACUUUCAGGGAUGUGUCUCCUUGGCAGACGUUUGUAACAGCAGGCUUAGCUGCCCAGAUGAACUCCUCAGCUCCCUUAUCUUUCUCCUCACUUUGUCUUCCAGUCCAAUUUAUGUAUUCACAUCUAACCAGCUCCAGUAAUGGGUAUCCUUACGGACAGACAGACAGACACAGAGAGGGACCUAUUUCUUUUAAAAUAUUUCUGGCAUGUUCCCUGCCUCACCCCACUCAAUAGGGAGGAGAGAUAGAAAAAAAAAAAAAAAACUUUUAUUGCUAUGAAGGGCAUAAGCCAGCAGCUCAACAGGUGCCACCCUGUGUGAAAAUCUCAGAGAUGCCAAUAAGCCACUUGAGACGGUAAGGCUCCUGCCUUUCUGUUCUUAUUCCUUAUCGGUCCUUGGCUUGCAGAAGAGGAAUGCUCAGAAAGAAGAAAGAACUCCAUGGCAUCAAGAGGAGGGCAGAUUUGUCAACCAGAGCCCCUGAAAUAAAUCAGUAAGAGUCGUGGCUUAGGCUAAUAGUUAUCCCACCUUUCCUUUUUAACAGCUACAUAACUCACAUUCAGACACUUGUACCCUAACAAUGAAACCGCAUCCCCUAAACACAUGCAUCUUGUUAGGUCAGUGCAGCUCUACCUGUGUGGUCUGUGAUCCAACAGCAUGAGACUGUCCUUGAAAUCACUCCUGUGCUCACCAGUCCUUUUGUCUAUUUUCAUCAUAACAGCUGAUUAAUAUAGGACCGCUUAAAUGGGUCAAGAGAAUCCAUGAAAAUUAUGUGUUUAAAUGAUUGUUAUUUACUGGCACAUACUGUGUCUAUGGCUGUCUGCCAGAGGCAAUCAGAAAUUUACUUUGAGAAAGUGCCAGGGUUGGAAUCUAGCCACUGAGACAGUGAGAAUUCUUAUUCCACCACUUUUCCCCCCUCUGUGACAUUGGGAAAGUUACCCAACAUUCCUGUGCUACAACUCACUCAUUGGAUAUGGGUGUAAUAACUGUGUCCACCUCGUAAGGUCACUGUGAGACCUUCAGGAAUAUUUCACCACGUGUUUUACCUGGCAGAUAGAAAGUGCCUAUUAUGAUGACAGUGAACACAAUGGACCCAUAACUUUAACAUUUAACUAUAGCAUUGCUUACUCAAGGUCAAGUAUUCUAAUUUAAUGGGGUUGUCCAAACACAGUAAAGACUCCUGGAUUUCAAGACUGUAGCUUUUUUGCUCCCUCCUUUUUAGUCUACUUACUGAAGUAUUGUGGCAAUGUACAGGCUGACUUUAUUCUCAAAUGCCUUUGGUCUGUGAUUCAUUAAAUCAGGGGAGCACACAAAUGUAUUGGUAGAAAAGGGGUGGGGGAGGAGAAAAAAAAACAAAACCCAACAGCAAAUAGUCACAUUGUUCACUUCCCUAAUGCCCUCUAUGAAACAGUGACCACUUUUCAGAUGCACUUGUCUCUGUUGUUCUGUAAGUAUGGAAGACCUGUCAUUGCUCAUCAGCUUUCACUUUCCAUGUAGACUUGCAAAGCAUGGUCCCAGCAGGGUGACUUUGAAAUAUAAAGCUUUUGGAUUGAAGUUUUGAAGAUGCUUGCUAGAGUGAGCCAGUCCUGACUGAAGGACAUCGCCCUCCAUGCGCUACUUGUUCGUAAUGAAAUAAGUUCCCUUACCACACCUGGCCGUGGUAACACUACUCACGCAGAGUUCUGCAGACUUGAAGCUGAGUAGCUAUGUUAAAACAAUGACUAACAUUCCAGUUCUUGUAGAUCUCAGAUCUCACCGAGGCAUCGUGGCACUUAAAAAUUAGUUAGUCUUUCUCAGAUGCUGAUCUGAAGGUAGUUAGUAGCUUAUGGUUUCAGGCAUUAAUGUUGAGCCUCCCUGAGGAAUUCAUCUUUGAAAUAUAGGCAAUAAAACCUUCCACAUAAGUUGUUGUGAGGCUUCAAUGAGGCUUAUAUUAUAAUCAUCUCUAUUAUAGAUGUUCCACAAACAUGAAUGCCCUUGUUUUAUCCUUUUCCUGUUUCUCAGUUUCUCAGGGUCACAUGGGAGUCCUGCUUUCUCAGUGCUAAGCCAUUUUACAGAAAGCAGUCAGACUCUGACACAGGCAAAAGCUGCCCUCAUGUGCUUAGAUGACUUGAGAGCAUCUUCUACUACUUGACAGCCAGUCUUCAGGGAAGAAGCUUUCAGGGAGAUUGGCCUGUAAUUUUCUUUGUGUGUGUGUCUUUAUCUGAAUUUGACAACCAAAGUGCUGUGGAGAUAGGUAUGGGAAACACUCCAUGAGUUUUAUGAGAGCAGGCCCCGGGAAGUGAGUGGUAUAAGUUUCCACCAAGACACUCAAGAUGUGCCUUCUACAGCCAAGCUGAAAGGUAAGGGGCUAGAUGAAAGGAGGCUUCCAGGGCAGAGGAGGAACUUGGCAAGUGCUACAAUUAUGAUGGCCCCAGUUCUAGGCAUGAUGAUAUUGAGAAAAUAAAUUUACAAAGACAGAAAAAUCAUAGGCAGCACAGCCCUGAGGCAAAACAGAGUGGGGGGAGGGGCUAUUAUUAAUAUUUUAAAGCCUAUGUGUGGCAAGAGGAAGAGAUUUAUGUGUGUCAUUGUGCAGGACAGAAUGAGAACAAAUGGAUGCAAAUAGAGAAAGAUUUAAAAACAAAUGGCGACCUUCUCACAGUCAACUCUACAAUGACAGUAAUUUGACUACUGGUACAGUUAUGAAUUUCUAGUCACUAUUGAUAGGAGUAUUAAGAAGGUGGGAAAUUCUUUACUUGAGAUGUUAUAAAGGGAAUUAACACAAACUGUAGAGUAAUAAGUAUUAAAUUAGUUCCCUUUCUAAGAUCAAAGACUGUAUCAUGUGCAUAUGUAAACACACCAGCUGAUAAUCACUUGUCUUGUGUAAUCAUUUUUUUCCCCAGUUUUUAUAGGCUUAAGUAAUUUAGGAUAAUUUAAACAGUCCCUUUUUUAAAUUUGUAAAAGCUUAGUUUUAUUUCUGAGGUCAUUUUUAAGAAUCACGAUUUUUAUCCCCAUGUGUGACCUAAAAACUUCCAUUUUGUUCAGGAAAAUUUUAACUCACAUGUUAAGGGAUUAUGAUGGAGAUGGAAAAACCCAGUGUGGUGAUAAUAGGAAAAUGAGGCUUUAGGUUAAGAGGUUUAAAUGAGUAAACAUUUAAACAGCCUAUUGCAAAGUCAGUUUGUGACAAUUUAGUUGUCACAAAAACAGUUUUGUCUGAAAAAGAGCAGCCAGGGGUGUGGUCAUUGCAUAAACUCCAGAUGGAAAAUCAAGAUGGAUUAGUCUAUUCCUUUUUUUCUUUUGAUCUAAUUUUAAGGCUAUUUAUAACAAACAAAAAUGUCACUAAAAUAUUAUGUUCCCUUCCAUAUUUUAAAGUACUUCUAUAUUUCAUUAAUUCCUCAUCAUUUCAUGAUUUUUAUUUUUCUGGAAUUAAAUCUUCUCUUUCAACUUUUGAGUUCUGUGGCAAGUCAUAUCUUGUUAUGUGAGACAAGAAAUGACCAUGGCUAUGGGGUAGAGUGGAGCCUCUCACCAUGUCAUAGCCCAGUGUAGUUUCAGUUAAGUUGGAAGUUGAUAGCAGUAUUUACAUAGUCAGUGUGGUCUGCCUCCAGGAGAGAGCUAGGUGUUUUAUGACCACCAGCUUUAUGAGUUGUAGUUAUAAACUCAUCAAUCUUUUAAAGCAAACAUGCCACAAUGUCUGCAUCCAAGUGGGAAUUGUCCUUCAGAGCUGUGACCUUAGGAAAAUUUCAGACAUGCUGGUAUGAAACAUAUUUAAAUCCUUCACAGAAACAUCCAUGAAACCCAGUCUCUCAGAAUGUCCCUAACCAUCUGCCUGACUCUUUCUCUGUCUUUACACCAUAUACAUACAGACAGAAAUUCUUAACCAAAAUUUUUAUAUGACUUGUUAACCAAUUGUAUUUUAUUACGUUUUUUUGCAAGUGCAUGUAUGUACAUAUGCAUGCUCACACAUUUGUUGGUUUGUAUAUGGGAGGCUGGAGAUUGACAUGGGUGUGUUCCUCAACUGCUUUUCACUCUAUUUACUGGAGCAAGGUGCCUUGAUGAUCAUGGAACUUUCAGAUUUGGUUAAGAUCCCCAGCCAGUCUUCCCCAGGGAUCACCUGUCUUUAUCUCCCAAUCACUGGGAUUGCCUACUUGGUUUUUGUGUAAUUGCUGAAGACCUUAACUCCAGUCUUCAUGUUUACAUGGCAAGCAUUUUAUCUACUAAGCCAUAUCUCCAGCUCAACUUUAUUUUUUAUAUUAUCUGUCAAUGAAUAUCUUGUGCUAUUUGAAAAGUCAAAUCCAUUCUUUGUUUUGUUUUGGUUUUGUU